GCCUGAACUCCCCUCUUGGAGGAUGAAAGACGAUGUGUCCCAGCAAUCCAGCCAUACCAACCAUCCCACCCAGUGCUCGGCUCUGAUCUACAGAACUGGCAGUGAGAGGGAAGCUGUGCAUUAGUUUUUGUGGGCUUUAAUGAAGCAGGAUUUGACAGCAUCUCAUAUCAGGUAUCAUCUUUUGCGUGCAUGGGGAGAAGGGCUGAGAAAUGUUCCUUUAACUGGUGCCAAAAGAGAAGGCAGUGAAAGACAAGGAAAAAAAAAUCAGAUGCCUUACAUCAAGGAUUAUUACCAAGUGGUUGGCUCAGUAAUAGCCGCAUGAUGAGGCAAACUAACAGGGAAAAUUUAAAUUAGACGGAAAGGACUGAUUCUUCCAGGAACAAAGAUGCUGACCUGAGGCAACCUUGGCCCACCGUGGAGUGGAGGGUAUGCCCUGAAGUCAAGACUGUUACAGGCUACAGCUUGCCUGCAUGAGAGGCUGCUAGAAAUACAGCAGAGUUGCACCUGCCCAGGACAGUGAAGUCUCACUUCAACUCAGAGUCAGGUGCAUGGAUGAUUCAGUUACAUGCAGAGGCCCCCAGAGCUUCCUGUCUGUUGGCAAAUCAGUGUGCCUGGAACUGGACUCAAGUGCUUUUCUAUAAAACUGUAGGAGGAGCCGCACUGGAGAAACUCGAAUCAGGAAAUAAUUUUCUGGCACUUUUUCUGCUGAUGCUGUUUUAUGAAAGGCAGGAAGAAAGAAUUCCACAGAAAAGAGCUGGUAUGAGUAAUUUCCAUAUGAACUGAAGCUUCAUAUAAACAUCUGAAAUAAAAUGUCUCCAGCCUGAGGGAACAGUGAGAGAACCCUGAGUACAGUCCUGCAAUGGGACAGACUUCCUGCUCCACUGUGAUGGGGCCACGUGAGUAAAAUCUGAGGAACUAGGCCAAGCGGGAUCAAGCCUUGCCCACCAGACAGAUUUACAUGACACACCUUGAUUCCUUCCUUCCCACUCUCCCUUCCUUGCCUCUCGCUUAGGGAACACACCCUCUCCAUUUCUAUUAUGGGGGAAAUAAGUGCAACUGGAAAUAUCAUGUAUCUGGAGGGAAUGAAAUCAUGGGUCAUCCAACUAGGAUGUUUCCUAGCGCGACCAACACACUCAAAACAUCCUUCCUUACAGCAAGGAAAGCAGUGGGACUAAGCUGAGGCAAGCACAACAUUUAAGGAGGCCCUGACUCUCAAACGCUGACUCUGCAUAUGCACAUCCCGGAGAGUGAGUGUCUCCUUAAACUUUGUGCCCUAGGGGCCUGGCUUGCUAAGCCAGGGAAGGAUCACCAGCCAGAGCCCUCUUGGGAGCAGCUGCCCCUCCUUCCAAUGGGCCACUAAUGGAUGACCCAGCCCAGCAGCAAUCCCAGAAGGGGUUCCAAGUGACCUCAGGGAACGGAUUUGGGUCAUCCGGUCCUGCAGCAAUGACUUACAGGUGCAGCAAGUUGUAAAAGGACAAUUUUUCAUGUGCAGCAGAACUUGCCUAGGAGAUAUCAAAACUGAAUGCAGUGUUGUCAAAGAAUCCAGAGGUCCAACCCUCACUGAACCACUGAACCUAACCAAAGACACUUUCCUGACCAAUAAACAGUGGGACUUGUUUUAACCAACUGCAUGGGUACAGAGCUUUGGACUCCUAUCUCAGUGGCUAGUUUUCAAUCCUUAAUUAGCAUAACCGUGGACUUCCCCUUCUAGUACUUAAAAUCCCCACUGGCCUCCCUCAGACAACACUUACGGCUCUCUCUCUCUCUCUCUCUCUCUCUGUCUCUGCCUCUGUGUGUGUGUGUGUGUGUGCAAGGUUGAGUGGUCUUUGUUUUAUUCUUUGACAAUCAAAUUCCAGGAAUGUGCUUUCUCUUCCCAGUGCAUUUGAAUUGUGUGCCGGUUUGAAUGUAUUAUGUCCCCCAGAAAAAGUCAUAUCCUUUGAUGCAGUCUUGUGGGGCAGACGUUUUAGUGCUGAAUGGCUUGGAAUCC